CCUACGGGAGGCAGCAGUAGGGAGUAUUGGGCAAUGGAUGCAAGUCUGACCCAGCCAUGCCGCGUGCAGGAAGAAGGUCCUCUGGAUUGUAAACUGCUUUUAUCGGGGAAGAAUAGGUUUCUUGCGAGGGACUGUGACGGUACCCGAUGAAUAAGCCACGGCUAACUACGUGCCAGCAGCCGCGGUAAU
rnacentral:rRNA from 1 species